AUGGAUUUGGCAUUGCUUUUUGGUAUGCCGGGCACUCUCAAUGAUAGCAAUGUGUUGCAACGGUCUCAUUUGUUUGCUAGGCUUGCUAGUGGUGAUGCUCCUGCUUGCAACUACACUAUUAAUGGGCAUGAAUACACAAAGGGGUACUAUCUUGCAGAUGGUAUAUACCCUCCUUGGUGCACAUUUGUCAAGAGCAUCAAAGAACCCAAAACAGAAGAACAAUGUGAAUUUGCAAGGGUGCAAGAGGCAGCCCGAAAAGACAUUGAAAGAGCAUUCGGUGUUUUGCAAUCUAGGGUUGUCAUUGUCCGUGGUCCUGCUUGUUUUUGGGAUAAGAAAACCUUGAAGAACAUAAUGACAUGUUGUGUUAUCCUGCACAAUAUGAUUCUUGAAGAUGAGAGAGGAUUGAACUUAGAAUUCUUUUACGACAAUGUGGGUAGGUGUGUCAAACCAGCAAGAGACCCAAACCGCAUUAGAGCUUUUCUUUAG
rnacentral:rRNA from 1 species